AGAGUUUGAUCAUGGCUCAGGAUGAACGCUAGCGGCAGGCCUAAUACAUGCAAGUCGAACGGUAAAUAUUCAGCAAUGGAUAUGAGAGUGACGUACGGGUGCGUAACACGUAUGCAACCUACCCUUUACAGGCGGAUAGCUCGGGGAAACUCGGAUUAACCCGUCAUAAUAUAAUUGGAUGGCAUCAUUUGAUUAUUAAAUCUACGGAGGUAAAGGAUGGGCAUGCGUCUGAUUAGUUAGUUGGCGGUGUAACGGACCACCAAGACGAUGAUCAGUAGGGGAACUGAGAGGUUGAUCCCCCACACUGGCACUGAGAUACGGGCCAGACUCCUACGGGAGGCAGCAGUAGGGAAUAUUGGUCAAUGGAUGGAAGUCUGAACCAGCCAUGCCGCGUGCAGGAAGAAGGCCUUCUGGGUUGUAAACUGCUUUUGCCAGGGGCUAAAAAGCCCAUGCGUGGGAAAUUGAAAGUACCUGGUGAAUAAGCCACGGCUAACUACGUGCCAGCAGCCGCGGUAAUACGUAGGUGGCAAGCGUUGUCCGGAUUUAUUGGGUUUAAAGGGUGCGUAGGCGGCUUUGUAAGUCAGUGGUGAAAUAUGGCAGCUCAACUGUCAAGGUGCCAUUGAUACUGCAGAGCUUGAGUACAGAUGAGGUAGGCGGAAUUGACGGUGUAGCGGUGAAAUGCUUAGAUAUCGUCAAGAACACCUAUAGCGAAGGCAGCUUACUAGGCUGUAACUGACGCUGAGGCACGAAAGUGUGGGGAUCAAACAGGAUUAGAUACCCUAGUAGUCC
rnacentral:rRNA from 1 species